AUUGAACGCUGGCGGAAUGCUUUACACAUGCAAGUCGAGCGGCAGCGCGGGGCAACCUGGCGCGAGCGGCGAACGGGUGAGUAAUGCAUCGGAACAUGUCCAUUUCCGUGGGGGAUAGCCCGGGCGAAAGCCGGAUUAAUACCGCAUACGCCCUUUGGGGAAAGCCGGGGACUUCGCAAGAGGCCUCGCGCGAAUGGGUUGGCCGAUGUCCGAUUAGCUAGUUGGUGGGGUAAAGGCCACCAAGGCGAUGAUCGGUAGCUGGUCUGAGAGGAUGAUCAGCCACAC
rnacentral:rRNA from 1 species